rnacentral:rRNA from 1 species
AUUGAACGCUGGCGGCAGGCCUAACACAUGCAAGUCGAACGGUAACAGGAAGAAGCUUGCUUCUUUGCUGACGAGUGGCGGACGGGUGAGUCAUGUCUGGGAAACUGCCUGAUGGAGGGGGAUAACUACUGGAAACGGUAGCUAAUACCGCAUAACGUCGCAAGACCAAAGAGGGGGACCUUCGGGCCUCUUGCCAUCGGAUGUGCCCAGAUGGGAUUAGCUAGUAGGUGGGGUCACGGCUCACCUAGGCAACGAUCCCUAGCUGGUCUGAGAGGAUGACCAGCCACACUGGAACUGAGACACGGUCCAGACUCCUACGGGAGGCAGCAGUGGGGAAUAUUGCACAAUGGGCGCAAGCCUGAUGCAGCCAUGCCGCGUGUAUGAAGAAGGCCUUCGGGUUGUAAAGUACUUUCAGCGGGGAGGAAGGGAGUAAAGUUAAUACCUUUGCUCAUUGACGUUACCCGCAGAAGAAGCACCGGCUAACUCCGUG